rnacentral:rRNA from 1 species
UUAACAUUCCAAGCUUUUGCUUUUAGAGGCCAUGAUGAAUCUCCAGGAUCCAUUAACCGGGGUAGUUUCAUUGAACUGGUAAAAAUUUUGGCUUCUCAUAACAAGGAGGUGAAAGAUGCUGGCUUGGAAAAUGCUCCUGGAAAUGCAAAGUACACAUCUCAUUUUGUUCAAUAGGAAAUUCUUAGUAUACUUUCUCGGAAGGUGCAAAGAAGAAUUAGAGAAGAAAUUGGUGAUCGCAAUUUUUGUAUAAUAGUUGAUGAAGCUCGCGAUGAAUCCAAAAAAGGUCAAAUGACAUUGGUCCUCCGGUUUUUCGACACUGAAGAGUUCAUACAGGAGCGUGAAUGA